GCCCCCGUAGCUCAGCUGGAUAGAGCAACAGAUUUCUAAUCUGUCGGUCAGGAGUUCGAAUCUCUUCGGGGGUA
rnacentral:tRNA from 1 species